rnacentral:piRNA from 1 species
UGGAGGAUACUCUAGGGGAUUCAGCUU